rnacentral:lncRNA from 1 species
CCAGGUGAAUUCCUCUUCCCCCUACUGUCCUGAUUCCAACCUGGUGGGAGCCACGGGUGUAUCUGAAGGGAGUUCCGGCUCUCUGCUCUUGCCCAAGAGGAGUGAGUUCUGGACACUGGAAUGGCUCCCAUGCUCCUGACAGCCAGGUCUCCCCAGGACUGGCCGUGUGUAAACCAUGGGUGAUCCACCAGCUGGAGCAAGGGGAGGCUCCUUGGACGCCAGAGAGGAGAGUCCUGGGCAGCGGCCGUCCAGGU